rnacentral:rRNA from 1 species
UCCACCGAUUGACUAAGGUUUCCAGAGGAAGGCUCGUCCGCUCUGGGUUAGUCGGGUCCUAAGCUGAGGCCGACAGGCGUAGGCGAUGGAUAACAGGUUGAUAUUCCUGUACCACCUAUAAUCGUUUUAAUCGAUGGGGGGACGCAGUAGGAUAGGCGAAGCGUGCGAUUGGAUUGCACGUCUAAGCAGUAAGGCUGAGUAUUAGGCAAAUCCGGUACUCGUUAAGGCUGAGCUGUGAUGGGGAGAAGACAUUGUGUCUUCGAGUCGUUGAUUUCACACUGCCGAGAAAAGCCUCUAGAUAGAAAAUAGGUGCCCGUACCGCAAACCGACACAGGUAGUCAAGAUGAGAAUUCUAAGGUGAGCGAGCGAACUCUCGUUAAGGAACUCGGCAAAAUGACCCCGUAACUUCGGGAGAAGGGGUGCUCUUUAGGGUUAACGCCCAGAAGAGCCGCAGUGAAUAGGCCCAAGCGACUGUUUAUCAAAAACACAGGUCUCUGCUAAACCGUAAGGUGAUGUAUAGGGGCUGACGCCUGCCCGGUGCUGGAAGGUUAAGAGGAGUGGUUAGCUUCUGCGAAGCUACGAAUCGAAGCCCCAGUAAACGGCGGCCGUAACUAUAACGGUCCUAAGGUAGCGAAAUUCCUUGUCGGGUAAGUUCCGACCCGCACGAAAGGCGUAACGAUUUGGGCACUGUCUCAACGAGAGACUCGGUGAAAUCAUAGUACCUGUGAAGAUGCAGGUUACCCGCGACAGGACGGAAAGACCCCGUGGAGCUUUACUGUAGCCUGAUAUUGAAAUUCGGCACAGCUUGUACAGGAUAGGUAGGAG